rnacentral:lncRNA from 1 species
UUGAAAUCACUUUUGCAUUUUCCUUUCAUGCUUCUUACAAUAAAAUUCAUAACAUAAAUGGUACAGGAUUGAAGAAGUACCUAUAAUGAAUUAAUCUGGGUAAUAAAAAAAAAAGAAAUCCGUCACCAAAAACUUUAAGCGGAACUUUGAAACUUGAAUCACAACUCUUUCUCUCCUUUAUUUUUCUUCUCUAUUUUUGGUUUUUGUUUCUCUCCCUGUCUGAUGUUUUCUCUCUGUUUUUCCUUCUCCCUCUUUUCUCUUGUUUUUGUCUGCUCUUCUGAUAGUGUUCAAAAGUACGUAGAAUUUGUCUGGGGAUUGAGGGAGUUCCUUUAAAAAAGGGAUGUGGGGAGCAGUUAAAGGAGAAUGGGAGUCAGAUAGGAUAGGGUAGUUGUAGUUUAGGAUAAUUAUAAAUUAUUAUUUUUAAUUAAUGAAUAAAUAAUAAUAAUAAUAAUAAUAACAAUAAUAAAAGAAUAUUUACUAAUUAAUUUUUUAAAAAAUAAUUUAUAUUUCAGAAAACUUAGAAUGAAAGUUUAUAAAUAGCCUAAAAUAAUAUAAUUAAAGGAAUACUAAAACUGUUAAUUUAUUUAUUAAAAUUAAAAGAGAAAUAUAUAUUUUUGAAAAUUUUGUAUUAUUUAAAAAUAAACAUAACAAAUAAAAAUAAAAUAAAAUAUUUUUAAAAAAUGUAAUUUUAUUUUUCAACUAAAACUUAUGAAAAAUGAAAUAAAAGCUAAAAUAAAUAUCAAACAAAAUUAUAAAUAAUUAAUACCAAAAAAUAGGUUAGAACUCGAGGAGGGUCAAAAAUCACGUGUCUACAUUUUGUCCCUCUUUACGUGAAAUCUCAAAGAGUUUUCAUACAAAGAAGUAGACAAAGAGAUGAUUUCUGACCCUCCGAUUAUUCGAAAAGGUGAGGACAAAAUAAAAUAAAAGAAAAGAUGUGACUGAGUCCUUGUUUUGGACCUCCUACCUAUCCCAAGUUAUAAGGAAUCAGGUCACGUGUAGUUCAAAGAGGUAAAGUGGUGAGACGGUGAGUUAGAGUAUGAGUUAGGUUCUGUCGAGUCUCCGAUUCGCGACUUCUGUUUUUUACAUCCAAAUGAAAAAUAAAAAUGAAAAUGAAGAUACAAGUGAAAGAUCCUAUGUAUUGCACAACUUUUCUAGAAUCUUGACUUGAAUUUUCAUGACUUCUCAAAUGGUGAGAAAGUCAUUAUUAUGAGUUUAAUCUUGAAAAAAUGAAUUGUUCUUCAUGUUGGCUCUUGGCAUUGGAAAGGAAUUCAACAAUUGACUCAUUCUUCAGACUCUCCUCUGACUUGAACUUGAAAAUCUUCAUCCUAUUAUUCAGGUGGGCUUCUGAACUUGCAAUUGAUAAUGUUCAUCCUAUUCUCCAGGCAGGCUACAGACUUGCUAGUUAUUCACCCUGUUCUUCAAGCGGGCUCCUGACUUGCUAUUUCUUCACCCUAUUUUUCAAGUGGGCUCCUGACUUGUUGUUUCUGAUUUUUCAAACAUGUUCUUGAACUCAAAGAAAAAGGUGAACUAGAAAAGAAAAGUCCCAUUAUUCAGGAGGCUCCUGAGCAGAAAAUAAAUCUCAUUAUUCGGGAGGGUCCUAAGUAGAAAGUAAAAUUCAAUUGUUCAGGAGAGUCCUGAGAUGAAAAGUAAAGUCUCGUAAAUAUGAAAAGAAAAAAUUCUCCAGUUUACACUAGAAAAUUUUGUGAGGGUCAUUAGAUCACAACUUUUGAAAAGUACAGUAAAGAGGGUGAAUCAAGGCCCAGCUAAAAAAAUGUGUUUCUUCAGAGUAAAAAUGAUGACUAAAAUUAGGAAGUGCGUCUCCUAACACAUGAAACUUAAAUUACCCAAACAAGAAAGUGUUUCUCCUAGGGAUUUAAUGAAAUGACUCAACUAGAAAGUGCGUUUUCUAGGAGGAAUGUUCAAGUUAGAAAGUGUGUUACCUAACAAACGAAACUUGAAUUAUUCAGACUAGGAAGUGCGUCUCCUAUGGAUUAAAUGGAAGGACUCGACUAGAAAGUGAAUCUUCUAGGAGUGAAGGUUUAAGUUAGGAAGUGCGUCACCUAACAAAAGAAACUUAAAUUAUCUAGACAAUGAAGUGUGUCUCCUACGGUAAAAAUGAAAUGACUUGAGUAGAAAGUGCGUCUUCUAGGAGUGAAUAUUCAAGUUAGGAAAAAUGUUACCUAACAAACAAAACUUGAAUUAUUCAGACUAGAAAGUGUGCCUCCUAGGGGUUAAAUAGAAGGACUCAACUAGAAAGUGUGUCUUCUAGGAGUAAUGGUUCAAGCUAGGAAAUGCAUUACCUAACACAUUAAAACUGACAUAUCCUAACUAGGAAGUGCGUCUCCUAAGGGUUAAAUGAAAUGACUCGACUAAAAAUUGCAUCUUUUACAAGUGAAUGUUCAAGUUACGAAGUGUGUUACCUAACAAACAAAACUUGAACUAUUUAGACUAGGAAGUGCGUCUCCUAGGGGUUAAAUGGAAGGACUCGACUAGAAAGUGCAUCUUCUAGGAGUGAAGGUUUAAGUUAGGAAGUGUGUCACCUAACAAAUGAAAACUGACUUAUUCAGACUAGGAAGUGCGUCACCUAGGGGUUAAAUGAAAUGAAUCGACUAGAAAGUGCAUUAAAUGAAAUGAAUCGACUAGAAAAUGCAUCUUCUAAAAGUGAAUGUUCAAUUUAGGAAGUGUGUCACCUAACAAAUGGAACUUGAAUUAUUCAGACUAGGAAGUGUGUCUCUUAGAGGUCUAAUGGAAGGACUCAACUAGAAAGUGCGUCUUCUAGGAGUGAAUAUUCAAGUUAGGAAGUGAGUCACCUAACAAACGAAACUUGAAUUAUUCAGACUAGGAAGUGCAUCUCCUAGGGGUUAAAUGUAAGGACUUGACUAGAAAGUGCGUCUUCUAGGAGUGAAUGUUCAAGUUAGAAAGCGUGUCACCUAACAAACGAAACUUGAAUUGUUCAGACUAAGAAGUGUGUCUCAUGGGGGUUAAAUGGAAGGACUCGACUAGAAGUGUAUCUUCUACGAGUGAAUGUUCAAGUUAGGAAGUGCGUCACCUAACAAACAAAACUUGAAUCAUUCAGACUAUAAAUGGACGGACUCGACUAGAAAGUGCGUCUUCUAGGAGUGAAGAUUUAAGUUAGAAAAUGCGUCACCUAACAAAUGAAAACUGACUUAUUCAGACUAGGAAGUGUGUCUCCUAAGGGGGUAUAUCAAAACUACUUAGCAAUACCACCUCUUUCAUUUUGCAUAAGUGGGAAUUACAUAUUUUGAUAUUUAGGCUUGAAGUCCUUGAUUUAAAGGCAAUAUGUGUUUUUGUUUCAUACCAAGAAAACUUGUUAAUUUAAAAACACAGUGGUUGGUUUGUGGCUUUAGCUUUCGAGGCAAUCUUUCUUGCACUCGUCAUGCUCAGCUCCAUUUCAGAUCAUUGAUAGGUAUCAUUGACUUGUCAUACUUUUAACACCAAAUUCUGGUUACUGAAAGUAUUUGACUCAAAUCGUAUUUCCCUUACAUGAUGCCUUUGGGUUUAACUUCUAAUACGCCUAUAUAUCUUUAUGCGUCCAAAAACUAUUGAAUGACAAGAUUUUUUUAGUACCUUACUUUAUCUGGAAAUAUGUUAUCUUUAUGUGUCGGCUCUUUGUCUUGCUUUGUGCAAUUGAAAGAGCUGGUAGCAAGUUUUGAAGUCCUUCCUUACUUGUCUUGACAUGAAUUUGACUCAAAAUAUGUGAAAGAUGACAAUAGCGAUUUUUCUUCUGAUAAUAAAGACACAAAAAUUAAAAAUAAAAAGAAUAAUAAAAAGAAAAUAAAAAGACAAUAGACAUCUCUUUUCAAAAAUGGCAAAAAUGAAAACUUAUCUGGGUGUGGCAGGUGAUUCCAGUGAUUACAACUUCAUUUUGAAUUACGCAACCAGAUCUACUCAUACUAAUCAUUUUCAACUUUUAUCCACUUAUUGAAUUUGAAAUGGAGCCAUUUUUUAACAUGCUCCUUCUAGAUCACAAUCUUUCUUCGGCUAGUGACACCUCAAUGGGGUUUUGCCAAAGAGCAUAUCUCAUUUUUAUUUCUUUCUUAGCUCACCAUCGCCUUAUGGUGUCCAAAAAGUUUUUCACCAACAAGACUCCCAUUUUUAUUUUUUUUAUGAAGGGAUGAUGCCCAAAGUAUGAAGCAUCAUACACUCAAACAUCUUUAGCCUUGACAUUCUCAUAGAUCAAUCUGAAGGUCUUUCUUUGAUUGUAACUUGGAUUUUGAAAAGGGUUAGAAAAAAAGGGUGGCAUGAGGCUAAAAAAUAUACAUGGCACUGGGUUAAGCAUACAACUUUUGGAAUCAACUUUUUUAAAAUAUAAUUUUUGCCCAAGUUUUGUUUCAUACAGGGUAACUUGAAUUUUAACUUGGUUAGAAAAAACCCCAGAAUAGGGCUACCUACAUAUCUUGUUAUAGCAAAAAUUAGGUCAAACGUAGUUCAGACAUCUUGUUCUUUUGCUUGAAUUUUCUUAUUUUUUCUUUUCUUUUUCUUCAUUUUAUUUUUCUUUUUGAGAUUUUUUUUGGCUCUAUUUCUCUUUCUUGACACUUUCCUAUUUCUUUCCUUUUUUUCUUUAACUUUUUUCAGACUCUAUUUUGAUUCCAAAAGAGGUGUAUGAAAGAAAAUAAAAUUAAAGCUCAAAGGGGGUAACAAAGGAUUACACAAUAUUUGGAUAGAAGAAUGAAAUGCCUUCGUCAUAUCAAUCCUUAAAAUGCAAGUAUAUAACAUGUAAUGAGAGAGUGGAACAUAAAAAUCAUGCACAUUUUUUCAACAUUGACCUUGACUGAGCAAGUGCUCGUGUGUCACUUCUUUCAUGCUUGUGAAACAUACAGGCCUAUUUGUGUUAUACUUUCCCCACAACAGAUGACUCGUGCUUUUUUAAGCAAACUUCUUUUUGCUUUUCCUGAUAAUAGAAACUAUAUAUCCUCUGGUUGAUCUCAUUCAAAAUGCUUGAGAUACACUUUCUCAUUGAAGACCAAGUUAUUUUUUAUUUGCAAAGUGAUUGCCUCAAUAUAUUCAAGUGAGGCUGCAACUAAGUCCCCAAACAUCUCAACACUCUACUUAUUUUCUUAUAUUUUUUUUUCAAUUUAACUUCUUGGCUCGAUGUUUUAGGAUUAGAUUGGGUUUAAAGAUCAGUUUGUGAAUCCAACAUGCAUAUCAUAUCAUUAGAAUCACCAUAAAAAAACUGUAUAAAAAAACUAAGACAAACUAGAUUUACAAAAAUUUAAAAAAAAAAAAAAGGGACACAUUUUGUUGACAGAAAGAUAAAAAGGUUUGAAUAGAGGCGAUAAGAAAUAAGACAAGAUAGAUUCUGAACUAAUAGCCUGAAAUAAUUCGUGUAACAAACAGACUACCACAAAUCCUUCCUGGUAAGAGAAGGAGUGACUUCUCAAUUAUUGAGCUUGACAUCUUAGUCAGUUUGUACAUCAAUAUGACUAGAGCUUUCACCGCUGUCAAUGUCCUGCACCAUAAUCAACUUAUCUUGAAUCAUCCUUUCUAUUUCUCUUUUCAAAGCACGAUAAUUUUCAGUACUGUGACCCUAAACAUCAGAAUGAUAUAUACAUCGUACAUUGGGAUCAAAAUUUCUUGAAUGUAGGUAUGGGAUGUAUCCAAAAAGGGGAGCGAUCAAGUCCUUUUGUCUCAAUUUUUGGAAUAAGCUAGUAUAUGAUUCUCCAAUUGGUUUGAAACUAUCCCUUAGCUUUUGUCUAUUUUCAUUAUUUGGCCUGGACCAAAAAUUAAGCCUAAAAGGGCUUAGGUAUGUUUGUUGAGUUAGAGGAUGAUUCUGAGGGGUUGGUGCAUCCAUUACCGGUAAGAAAAGGAUCGGGCAUAUGGUUGUGCAUUAUAAAUAAGAUACUGAGGGGAUGAAAUGGAAUAUAAUAAAUUUUGGGGAGGAACAUAUUAUCAUGGAUGGUUAUAUGGGUAUUGAAUGUAGACUUGGGAUUGAGAUUGCGCGUAUGGGUGACGCAGACCUUUCGAACUUUGUCGCGUUCCUGACACAACAGUAGCCCAAUCCUCCUUUCUUUUCUUUUCUUUGAAACUUCCUAAACUAUUAUGAAUUGCCUGAGCAGUUAUUUUCAAAGAAGCUUGGCUUAUAAUUUUACCGGACUUAAUUCUAUUUUCUACCAUUUCGCCAAUCUUAAUGACCUAGAUAAAUGUAUUUCAAAAAGUAGAAAUCAAAUGAUAGAAGUAAUUGGGUUCUUGUGCUUGGAGAAAAAUAUCAAUCAUCUCAGACUCAUUCAUUGAUGGCUUAACUAUAGCAGAUUGCUCCCUCCAUCUAACAGCAUAUUCUCCAAAAAUUUUGAUGGAUUUUUUCCUCAUGUUGGUAAGUUUAGUACGAUCCGGCACUAUUUUGAUAUUAUAUUAAAACUGCUUGAAAAAAUCCCUAGCCAUGUCAUCCCAAACAUGCCAAUGAGAGAUAUUUUGAUCAAUGAACCAUUCUAAAGCAAUUCCUACCAAACUCUCUCCGAAGUAAGGUAUCAUUAGUUUCUCUUUCCUUGCUCCUCUUAGUUGAUUACAAAACCUUUUCAAAUAACCUAAAAGAUCACUAUGCCCCUUGUAUUUGUCCAACUUUAGUGUUUUAAACCCUAAAGACAAGUGAACAUUGGGAAACACAUAUAAAUCCUUGUAAAAUACACUCUUUUUUCUAUCCCAAUUAUUUUACGUUUCUCAUAUUUUCUGUAACUUAUCACCUUCCUAGUUAUCUCCACUUGUUCCACAUUUCUAAUAGUCUAUACCACCUCAUCUAAGAUUUUGCAUUCUUUUUGUGGGUCAUCUUUCCUUAUCUUUGGACCUGGUGUUGUAUGAAUGAGAUGCUAGCUUAACCACAAACCAACCACCUUAUUAUUAUUUUGACUUUAGAGAUAAGGAAUGUGUCAGGAUUUCACACUUUAAAAAAAAAUUCUUUAAGAAUAUCACCGAACCCGGUAUGCCGCCUACGUAUCUCAUUAAGAUGAGAAUCAGGUGUGUGUAGUUCUUGAAAUUGGAGAUAUGAAGAAACACACUCUUUUUGUUUGAAUAAUGAGAAAGAUUUUUUUUUAAUUAAUAAUGAUAAAAAAAAACAUAUUUUUAUUAUCGAAAACAAAUUAUUUUCUCUAUAUAUAAGGACUAAAACUCUCUUCUUUUUUCUUUAGAAGGAAAGACAACUUUUUUUAAAAGAUCACCGAACCCAUGAAGGGUUGCCUACGUAUCUCAAUUAGAUGAGAAUCAGGUGUGCGUAGUUCUUGAAAUAUAUGUCGCAUAAAGUUCAGCCUCAAGACCCCUAAAGGUUCAGGGCUGUUAAGAUUUUAUAUAUAUAUUAUUUUGUAAAAACUUAUCCUCAUGAUCCAUAUAUAUAUAUAUAUAUAUAUAUAUACACACUAGUCAAGUGUAUGUACUUUGCACGUAUGUAUAAUGUUAAUCAUGAAUAUUGUUUAUAAAGUGAAUAAUUGUUAUGAGUAUGUUACAUUAAGAAGUUUAAAUUAGUUUUUAAAAGAAGGUAAAAUAUUUAGGAUUAAAGGUGUAUUGAAAAGGAAUGUGAGAUACAUAAUUUAUAAUAAAAUUCAUUUUAUUUGAUGAGGUACCAUAUAAUCUUAUGUAUCGCGCAAGUUCCUUCCUUGUCGGCUAAAUGUGUUGAGCUAAUUUGUUCCAUUAUUAAGCGAAUGAAGCUGUUCUCCAAGUCCGUCGUGUAUUAAUACUACAAUAUCAAUUAUUAUUUAUAUUGAAUUAAAAAAGAGGAAAAAAAUAGAAGAAAGUACCCAGCCUUUUUAGCGUGUGGCCAAACUUCUAAAAUUAGCUUAUUUUGAAAGGUUUUAUUUUAGAAGUGCUUUUAUAAAAGUACUUUUGAUGCUGUGUUGGUCUUUUCAUUUUAGUUCCGCUUACAUAUUCAAAUUUAAGAGAUUUGAUUUCUCACAAAUUUUCAUUAAAUAUAAGAUAAAAUUUUCAUUAAAUAUAAGGUAAAUUUUUUGCAAUUUAUGCCAUAAUGAAAAGAAAAAAUUCUUCUUUUGUCUCUUUGUACUUAAUUUACCCUUUUGUUUUAUUCUUUCUUCAUAUUGAUUUGUUUACAAUAAUAAUCUAAUGACUUAAAAAGUCACUUUUAAUAUGAGGUAAAAAAAUUCGUUAAUAUUCCAGUAAUAAAAGAAAAAUUAUACCAUAUAAGUUAAGACUCUUUAAUUAUUAAUUUUCUUAAUAACUCUUCCCAUAUAAUUUCACUUACCAUAUAUUUUAGGACUCUUUAAUUCUACAUAUUAUGAAAAUAAUUGAAAAAGGGUAAAAAGACGAUUUUAGCUAUUGUAGAGUAUUUUAAUGAAGGGUAAAAAGUUCAAAUCACUUUUUUAAGGGUGUUCACACUUUUAAUAUAUAUGUGUGUGUGUGUGUGUGAGAGAGAGAGAGAGAGAGUGUGUGUGUGUAUAAAUUAAACUUGAGCAUGAGAAAAAUAAUUAUAAAAGUAAUCAUAUUUUUCAAAUAUUUCCCAAAUAAAUCUAUGAAUAACUUUUCAAAAGAUAGGGUCGUAACCUAUAAAAGGGCUUCCUACGUAUCCCGCUAAAUAGUGAGAAUCAGACCCUCGUAGUUCAUGAAGACCUUAAAAACUAUAUAUAUUUUAAUUUCCUUGGAAAAGAAUGAUUUGUUAAAUUUGAGGACAAUAUACUUUCUUGCGUUUUACCAAGUUUCCUAAAGUAGGUCAACAACCAAAUUGCCAUCCAAAUAAAUGUCAAAGAGCACAUAGGAUGCACAUGUUGGUCAUUAUAAAAAGUGACACUUGUCCUAGACAAAUCCGGCCUUUGUGUCGAGUCCCGCUAAGUCAAAUGUAUAUGAUGCAAAUAAAGUGGAGCCUAAUAGGGAUAACCACGUCUGAGUUUCAGUUUUACUAGGUUUAUCCUAAUAGGGUAAGUGUCUAGACUGGUUUACCCGAGCAAAAACUCGAGUCGGGGAGGGACAACUUGGUCGGUAGCAGUGUUAUUCCGCCUUCGUUGUUGAUCCAAACCUCGCCUAAUAUGUGUGACUAAUAAUCAUUAACCCGGUGCCUUGACACUCCGGUUAUUUCAAGAUGAAAGUAGGAUGCAUACUCGACAUUCCUUCUAUCCUAUUUCAGAGACUCAGAAGGGGUGCACAAGAGAAGACAAUUUGUAAUACAAUUCAGCAAUAUCAAAACAAUAAAUAAGCGACAAGUAACACAUUAAACCAACAAUACAAUAGCUAAAUUAAAGCAAGUAAAAGUUAAUAUUAAAAGCUCAAAUUUUGGUUAUUCCCCAUCUGAGUCGCUAGAGAUGUCACGUCCCCUUUUUACCCGAAGGGUUGAAGGAUUUUUCCAAUUAAAGUGACGGUUUUGAAUAACGAUUAUUUUUAUUUACAGAGACUCCACUUGGAAUUAAGUUAUGGUGUUUCAAGUCACAUUUUUGAAUCCCUAGUCAAAAGAAAAUGACUAUUUAUUAUGGUUUGCAAAAACAGAAGACCAGCUAAGAAAUUCUGUUGAUCGAGGGGAAGGUGUGAGGCACCUCUCGAGUCCUGUGAUUCUAGCAUGAUCGCUUUGAUUGACUUAUCUUAACUUAAAUUAUUUUGAAUAAAUUAUGUUUGUAGGCCUAAAUUCGCUCAUUUUUUAAUGUCUAAUAUCUAUCUAUAACUCUUGUAUUAAUCUAGUGGGAAAUUAAAUUUAAGACAAUCUUUACCGAGGUGCAAUAUUGCAUCCUUGGAUUAUUUUCAAACAUCUCAAUAACAUGCGUACGCUGCAUUCUUAAUUGAGAUAAAAAUUUAUAAAUGUGUCUAAAAUUUGCCUAGCGUUAAAGGCUUUAAUUUGUUUCUUUUAAACUCGGGGUGCUUUUUAACCUUAACAACAAACUAAAACAAUAUUCAUUUAAAGCAGUUAAUAAAUUUAAUAAAUAAUUAUUAAAUUCUAUUAAUGACAAUAAAUAAAAUAAUGAAAUAAUAAAAUACAUAAUCUAUUAAUGUGCUGAACUUUAAUAUUAUCCCUUAAAAUUAUUCUGUUUAAUUAAUACAAACCUAAAUCACAUAUUAUAAUACAUAUCCAUGUUAAAUACAAAUAAUAAUACGGUCCUGGAUCAAUUUUGGGAAUAUCGACAUUGGUAUCAUCAUUUUGCCGGUGAAAUUGUCGGAAUAGUAACAAAACAACAGUUGGGCAUUUUCCAGUGGUUUUUCGCUGGAUUUUGAGCAACGGAGAGGCUGGCUUAUGCUCUCCAGUGAUGGAAGCAGCGCAAAAAAGGGGAAAAGGGGGAAGGUGGCAGCAGAUCUGGUGGUUGUUUAGCUGGAGGAGAUGGAGGCGGCUGUUGUUAUUGUUGGUUUUAGGGAUUUUCUGACGAGAUCCAUCUCGUCGUUGGUGGCUGGUAGAAAUUUAGAGGCUCACCGGUAGUUAAAUCCCUUGAGAAGUUGAAGAAGGGAAAAAAAGAGGGAAAGGGAGGUGCACGGUUGUCGAAGUGGUUAGUGGCUGUCGAAUUUUGGUAUGUUUUGCCGAAACAAUAACGAUUACCUCUAAUGAUAUUUUCCAGUGGCAAUUCCAAUGGAUUACUGGCGAAAAACUCGCCGGGAACAAUGAAGGAGCAUCAUAGUUUUCUCUCUCUCUCAAUUUUGCUUUCUACUGGUUUUACUCUAUGUCUGUUUUUCCAUUAGUUACAGAUAUGUGUAUGAAUUCAUGUGUAUUAGUGUUCUGUUUAUAGUGUGUUAUCAAUCUCUUUUUCUUUUUUUCUCCAGUAGUGGUGUGUAUUGUAUGUGACAUCAGUGUAGUAGAUCAAUUUUUCAACUUUUUUUUUACAAGAUGAUAUUAACAACUAAUAUUUAAACAUCCAACACAUUGUACGUACAAACACAUAUAUGCAUUCUGUAACUUGAUCUUAUAACAUACAAUAAUCUAAAGCUCACAUAAUUAAUUAAUUAUAUAUAUACUAAAUAAUACAUGAAAUCAUUUUAGCUUUUUUCUUUCAUGCUUUUCAUAAUAAAAUUCAUAACAUAAAUGUUACAAGAUUGAAGAAGAACCUGUAAUGAAUUAAUCUGUUUCAAGCUGAACUUUGAAACUCGAAUCACAACUCUUUCGCUCCUUUAUUUUUCUUCUCUGUUUUUGGUUUUUGUUUCUCUCUCUAUUUUUCCUUCUUCCUCUUUUCUCUAUUUUUUGUUGCUCUGCCUGAUAGUGUUCAAA